UAUUGGGCCCUUCGUACUCAUAAGUUGUUUUUGAUGAUGGAGCUUCCGAAUCGACGAUCCACUCCAUUAAAUAUGAUCUAGAGUAUUUGAAAUUUCUAGAAAAUAGAUUUCAUAAUUUUUUGAAAUCAUAAUAAAGUCCAUCAAGUAGGCAUAAAAUGAAUGGUCAAAAUCGAACGAUAUCUUAAAAAUGGAUGAUCGGAUCCUUCAAUUUAAGAUCAGAGUUAUUGAUCUUUAUCUAGGUA
rnacentral:lncRNA from 1 species